rnacentral:ncRNA from 2 species
UUAUGAUGGCGACCUUCAGGUGCCCGUCGCUGUAAGGCGACGGGAGAAUCGGGAAGGCGGUGCAAAUCCGCCGCGUGCCCAACGCUGUAAGGAGGAUGACCCUCGCUCAAUGCCACUGGCGCAAGCCGGGAAGGCGCCGGGGUCAGAUGAAUCCAAGCCAGAAGACCGGCCUGAAAACUUUCACCACG